rnacentral:rRNA from 1 species
CAGCCGCCGCGGUAAUACGUAGGGUGCGAGCGUUAAUCGGAUUUACUGGGCGUAAAGCGUGCGCAGGCGGCCCGUUAAGACAGGUGUGAAAUCCCUGGGCUCAACCUAGGAAUUGCGCUUGUGACUGGCGGGCUCGAGUACGGUAGAGGGGGGUGGAAUUCCUGGUGUAGCAGUGAAAUGCGUAGAGAUCAGGAGGAACACCGAUGGCGAAGGCAGCCCCCUGGGCCUGUACUGACGCUCAUGCACGAAAGCGUGGGGAGCAAACAGGAUUAGAUACCCUGGUAGUCCACGCCCUAAACGAUGGGUACUAGCCGGUUGGUGCGCGAUAGCGCUGAGUGGCGAAGCUAACGCGUGAAGUACCCCGCCUGGGGAGUACGGCCGCAAGGUUGAAACUUAAAGGAAUUGGCGGG